GGGUUUGUCUCUCACAUAAAGCACGUGACGAAGGGAACUCAGAUAUGAGCCAUGGAGAAGACCCAUCUAUAUGGAACUCAUUGAAUGAAAUUAUCACGGAAAUUAGAUUUUUCAAGCAACCAGUGACCAACUAGUCUGUUUGCUCACUACACACUUAAUCGUAGAAUUCCAUUUCAAUGAGCGAUUUGACAGAUGCGAAUUGACGAAAAUCGGUAGUUUAUAUAAAUAACUGAGACUCGGUAAUCUAUUUUGCCACAAAAAUCAGCACAUUUUUACUGAAUUUCGGCGAAGCGCAUCUGUUAAAACCGAGUUUGAUGAUUGCAGCUGCAGACACCUACCAUCAUGUGCUAGAAGUUUUGUGAAAUGUUCUUGAAAAGAGCGCCUACAUGAAUAUUCCCUGAAACUUUUGCUCCUCGCAGUGAAAAUGGUCGUCUUGUUACAAUUCGCUUCAAAGGGAAGAGCACAUUUCUGAAAUUGAGUGAAAAGUGAAAUGCUUACAGCGGUGGUGGUUUAUACAUUUGUAAUGCAAUAAAUCACUCGAAAAUGUAGUUUCA